UCAUGCUUAAAUAACAAGUUCAUGAAUUAAUAGUUCUGGUUCAUAUCUGUUUAAGAUAUGGAACUUUAAGGCUCAACUCAAGAACAUUGGAAGUGCCUGGUAAAUACUUUGGGGCUAACGUAAGUUAAGGCUUACUCUCCUAAUGGGAAAUUCCGUUAGAACCCUCGUGCUCCAUAUAUAUGAUAAUAUCCCCACGUUAUGUCUUCUUGUGUUCAAGUACUUAGUUCACACCAUCAUUUUUAUUCAGUGCGACUAUAUAUGAAAACACGACAGUAUUAUAUGCUUAUGUGUAUCACUGUUUGUUAUGUGUCUUGUUGUGAUACAUAUGUUCAGUUUCAACAUUCACUCAUACAUUCAGAUGGGAGAGCUAGUCGUGUCGUAUUAUAUGCUUGUGUAUCACUGUUUGUUAUGUGUCUUGUUGUGAUACAUAUGUUCAGUUUCAACAUUCACUCAUACAUUCAGAUGGGAGAGCUAGUUGAUCUCCCCUUGCGUGAGCGCCACUAAGGCCAAGGUUAGCUACCCACACGCUCGUUUUUUGAGACUGGUAACGUGUGUGUGUA
rnacentral:lncRNA from 1 species